GCAUGGUUGAAAAAAUGAAAUGAGAAAAGCUGGACAUCCUUAAUAGCCCACAAGAGGUUUUAGCCUUCAAUAAAACCUCUUGCCAAGCUAUAUGAAAGAUUCAAGGAGAAACAUAGGACAUUUCCUAAUGAGCCUGAAGAGGAGACAUCUCUAGGGUUAUGCCAGUGAGAGGGUGUUCGUAAGACUCCAUUUAGAAACAGAUUCAGUUUCUAUAUUAACACUGGCGUUGGAAUCAUCAUCAAAAAAGAACAAUUUCUUUCUGCAGUAAUUAGUGUCUCCUGCAAUAUCAGUUCCUUUGCUAUUUUCUAAACAAUUGCAUGUUUCUUCAUUAUUUCUCUAUUCAUCACAAGAAAGAAAAAUGAGGAAUUCUCUACGUUGGAUAAUGCCAGAGUCUAGAUCCUGAGAUGAGACUGAAGAAUGACUGGCUCUGCAGUGUGCUAGGUGCUGUAUAAACAGUCGCUCUGUCCCCAGCUUAAUGUUCUAGGCUCUUGAGAUAU